CCUANGGGGGGCAGCAGUGGGGAAUAUUGGACAAUGGGCGAAAGCCUGAUCCAGCCAUGCCGCGUGAGUGAUGAAGGCCCUAGGGUUGUAAAGCUCUUUCGCAGGUGAAGAUAAUGACGGUAACCUGAGAAGAAGCCCCGGCUAACUUCGUGCCAGCAGCCGCGGUAAUACGAAGGGGGCUAGCGUUGUUCGGAAUUACUGGGCGUAAAGCGCACGUAGGCGGAUAUUUAAGUUAGGGGUGAAAUCCCAGGGCUCAACCCUGGAACUGCCUUUAAUACUGGGUAUCUCGAGUCCGAGAGAGGUGAGUGGAAUUCCGAGUGUAGAGGUGAAAUUCGUAGAUAUUCGGAGGAACACCAGUGGCGAAGGCGGCUCACUGGCUCGGUACUGACGCUGAGGUGCGAAAGCGUGGGGAGCAAACAGGAUUAGAUACCCCUNUANUC
rnacentral:rRNA from 1 species